rfam:Schistosoma mansoni strain Puerto Rico chromosome 4, complete genome
AUGCAGCUUACGAAUCCCAAAUAGGAUGAGACGCGCGUCCUAGAU